AAAAAAGAAACCCUGGCUCCUUCAUCUUGAUCUCCUUCUUUUGUCUCCGCCAUCCCCCGCCCCCAGCGUCUAGGCCUAGACAAAUCCUACUACUCAGCUUUCAGUCUGUAGAUUUGCUUGCUCUGGAUAGGCCACAUAAACGGAGCCAUAGCGUAUGUGGCCAUUUGUGGCUGACUUCUUUUGCUUGUUUUUUUCCUUGUGUUUAAUGUUCGUCCAUUGUGUAGCAUGUACCAAUACUUCAUUUCUAUAUACUGCCUAAUAAUAUUCCAUUGAAUGGAUAUACUACACUUUCUUUUUCUAGUCAUCACAUGAUGCCCAAUUGGGUUGCUUCCUUUUUUUUUUUUUUGGAUUGUCUUGUUUUUGUUUUUUAAGACUGCACCCGCAGCAUCUGGAAGUUUCCAGGCUAGGGAUCGAAUCAGAGCUACACCUGCUGACCUGUGCCACGGCCACAGCAACGUGGGAUCCCAGCCGCAUCUGCGACCUACACCACAGCUCACAGCAACCCCAGAUCCCCAGCCCACUGAGGGAGGCCAGGGAUCAGACCCGCAGCCUUGUGGAUACUAGUUGGAUUUGUUUCCACUAUGCCGUAACGGGAGCUCCUGGAUUUCAUUUUUGACUGUUGUGAAUAAUGCCACUGUGAACGCUCAUCUAUAAGUUAUUGUGUGAACAUGUGCUUUCAUUUCUCUUAGGAACAUACCAAGGAGUGGAAUUGCUGAAUCACAUGGUUUAACCGUUUGAGUAACUGCCAGAUUGUUCCUUAAAGUGUCUGCAUCGUUUUAUAUUUUACAUCAUUUAUAUUUUAUAUUUACCUUAUAAAAUAAUGUACAUUUUACCUUCACAAUAGCUUCCUCUCUUUGGCAACAUUUGUUAUCAUUUGUCUUUUUGACUGUAGCCAUCCUAGUGGGUGUGAAGUGGUAUCUCAUUGUGGUUUUAAUCUGCAUUGCCCUGAUCAGGAGCCCUGUUUUCAAAAUAAGGCAUAAAAUACAAAGCAUCUCUUAGGGCCUUCAGUGGAAGCCUGAGAAAGAAAUAUCAAGAGACUGACAGGUGUCAAAGGAGGGUUUCAGGCAGUUAAGGGCAAAAUGUGAGUUGAAAGCAGCCUGUUAGGCUUUAUUCAGUCUGUAGUGUUGCUGUGUUCCACUAUAAUGAAUAACCAGAUAUCACUGUUCUCAGUCAGAUUAGCUGUUCUCAGUCCUAGACAGCACUACAGUAGAGUUAUCUAAAAAAAAAAAAAAUUUUUUUUUUUUUUUUUUUGGUUAAAUUUUGCUCUUUAGGGCCGUACCUGUGGCAUAUGGAAGUUCCCAGGCUAAGGGUCAAAUUGGAGCUACAGCUGCUGGCCUACACCACAGCCACAGCAACAUGAGAUCUGAGCCGUGUCUGCCACCUAUACCACAGCUCACGGCAACACUGGAUCCUUACUUAACCAAUUGAACGAGGCCAGGGAUCGAACCUUCGUCCUCAUGGAAGGUCGGAUUCGUUAACCACUGCGCCACGACGGGAACUCCUGGAGUAUUUUUUUAAGGAACCUGUAUUUUUGUCCUAAGAGAACUGCUCAAAAUCUGUGCAGUAGUCCAGGCCUUCUUGCCCUUUCAAAAAGGUACUCUCUGUGCAGUAGUCCAGGCCUUCUUGCCCUUUCAAAGCGGUACUCUCUGUCUGUAGUCUUGUCAUUGUCUCUAGAUUACGUGAAAAUGUGGCAUAUAGACCCGUUGGUGUAAAGUGUCGCAUAGAGAAACCUGAAAUGAAAAUGACGGAGGAGGUGCGUUGCAGAGCAGCGUCUCCGUCUGGCUAGCUUCUCCACGUCCUUGCCUUGUCUCCCUAAUACAUCAUCUUUGCUCGCCUUUUUUCCUGCCUUCUUUCUUUUUCUUUUCUUUUCUUUCUUUUUUUUGGGGGGGGGAAGCCUAUUUUACUUAUGCACUGCAGCCUGUAAAGAAAAUAAGGUCUCUAUUACACAUCCUUAAAAACAAAGAGGGAAAGAAACAAACCCUUGUUAAUAACUUCCACUUUGAGUGCUUGGGCUGGUUGCAAGGCCCAGGGGACCAAUCGGCUGAGUGUGGGAGGAUGUGGAACCAUUUGUCCUGGGAGAACCACUGCAUUAAAGGAAGAGAGGGAAGGCAUGGGGGGAAGGGGAGGCUCUGCUGAUGAAAGUUGCUGUCAAAUUAGCAGGUCUGGAAGUUGUAGUGCAUAUUGUUAUGAGCUGCUCAAGUUCACACCAGAGCAACCAGCUCCAUCCGUCUUUCUCAGUUUACAUUUUAAUUGGCUUGUAGUUAAGUUUUUUAAACACUGCGAGAUUGCUGACAUACACUGUAAUAUCAUGUGAAUAAUUUAUGGAGGUUGCUCAAGACAAGCUUUUUCUUUGAUUUGAGAAUCCAAGGGGAAGGGGUGAAGAAAGAUGAGGAGUCUGUGGGAGGGGCCCAGGACAGAGGAGCAGACACAACUGUGUGUUGUGCGCUGGAUGUUAAAUGUUUCUGCCGGUGUAGGCAGCAGCGUUGGGGAUUUCUGGGAGGUUUGUACAAUACAAUCUUAUUAAUAACAAUUCUGUCAAGAGAGCACCCAAUUAAAUUGAAUUGGGUUUAUGACUCCCUCUUGGUUUCUUAAAAUGUGUGGAUAUAAAACCUGUUCGAUGUGAGUGUUGGAUAACAAGGGUGGGCUUUUCUUUUCUUUUCUUCCUUUUUUUUUUUUUUUUUUUUUUUUUUUUGGUUGGUUUUAAUGAUUCCUCCUCCUACUGAGAAUUUUCUUGUUUAUAAAUGCAGGAGUCGACACUUUUCCCAAACUACCUUUUUCUUUUCAGCUCUCACAAUAAUCUAGAGAUGGAACCAGUGUCGGCGCGCAGUCGUUCUAGUUAAGAACUUGACUGCUUCUGGGAGUGGUUGGCUAGACAGCUCUGAGUCUAGAAUAUCAUUUAAUUAAGACCUGCGGGAGAACCCUCUUCCAAAAUAUACUUCGAAAAUAUACUUUUCUUCUUAUUAUAAAAUAAGUGAAGUGUAUGAAACAAGGAGAGUAUGAAGGAGAGAAUAAAAAUCACCUAUAACUCCCCCCACACUGAUAACAUUUGGUGUAGGUUUUGUUUAUAUCUUUCCAGUCAUUUUUCUAGCCAUAUAUACUGAACAUAAAUGAAAUCGUAUAUACCACUUAGAAUUCUUUUUUUCACUCACCCAUUACAUCUUAAGUAUUUGCUCAUAUGUUUUGUCUACAGUUCCAUUUCUAAUGACUACGCAACAUGUACGUAUGUAUAUUUUCUGUGCAUGUACAAUGCUUUAUUGACCCCAUUUCCAGCCACUGAAAUGAAGCAGUUUUAUCCAUUUCAGGCAGGGGGGCAGUAAAUAUAUUUUUGGUUAAAUGUUGGUGUGUAUUCUUGAUUAUUUCCUUAGGGACAUUUUUAGAACUAGAAUGUCCACGGUGAAGCAGAAGGAGUCUGAGGAAAAGAUCAGCAAUACCUCAAGAACAAGUUUGUCCUGCAAAGUGGGAGAAAAUACAGAUUUUUCUCACUAAUGAAAUUAAUAAUUUCUUUCUAUUUAAAAAAUUGGUAAUGACAAAUUCAAUCAGAGGUUCUUUGAAAUAAUCGAUAUGUUUUUCUCCUUGUGGGUUUCUUAACCACAAAACCUAAUCCUAAUAGGAUUAAUAUAGGCUAUUUUUUCUUUCCCAAUUGGCACAUAACUACCUAAGACUUCAUGUAAUCAGUUGAGAUGCUACAAAUAUAUUGCCUGUCAACUCCAAUAAAAGAAGAGGGCAGUUAAUUAAAAGGAUGUCUUGCUGUUAAACAAACUUGCAGUCAAUUGCUUGUAAGUAACAUUUAGUUUGAUAUGUAGUCAGAGGGCAAGAAAAUCAUUGUUCAGAAAGGACUAGCUGUUUAGAACUAUGAAAAGAGGAGUGACUUUAGUGAAGUGGAGAUGAAUGACCUAUUAGUUGGUAUGAUGUCUUCCUUUUAAAAAAUAUAUUCAGGAAGUUCCUGUCGUGGCCCAGCAGAAACGAAUAUGACUAGGAACAAUGAGGUUGCGGGUUCAAUCCCUGGCCUCGCUCAGUGGGUUAAGGACCUAGUAUUGUCAGGAGCUGUGGUGUAGGUCGCAGACACAGCUUGGAUCCUACAUUGCUGUGGCCUGUGGUGUAGGCUGGCAGCUGUAGCUCCAUUGGACCCCUAGCCUGGGAACCUCUAUAUGCCUCGAGUGUGGCCCUAAAAAGCAAAAAUAAAUAAAUUAAUUAAGUGUUGGAGGGAUUGCGAUGGACUGAGCGUUUGAGGUUAAUAGAUGGAAACUAUUGCAUUUAGAAUGGACAGACAAAAGGGUCCUGCUGUGUAGCAUAGGGAACUGUAUCCAAUCUCCUGGGAUCAGACCAUGAUGGAAAAUAAUAUUUUUUUAAAAAAUGUAUAUAUGUGUAUGACUGAGUCACAUUGCUAUACAGUAGAAAUUGGCACAACAUUGUAAAUCAACUAUACUUUAAUAAAAAAUUUAAAAAUAAAAUGUAAGUGUUGAACUGUUUGGGAAACAGAGGAUGUGUAUAGAGGGGAGACCCUUUCCAUCUCAAAGGUACACAAAUGUUAGAGACCAGAGCCAUUUGAAAGUGUCAUCCGCUUUGUGUCACCAAGUUCCAAAGGUGGUCCCUGAAAUUUGGCGCCUCCUCCAGCGCUAAGAAACUUCCGACUUUGCCAAUGACCGCAUUAAAAUGUGGGUAUCUGGCAAGGGUGAACCAGUCUCAUUUACUGGUUUUCAUUCUUUGCACGGGCUAUUAUUUCAUAAACAAGAAUUUAUUUUCUUCAUGCCAAUUCUGUGCCCUGCUAGGCAGUAUGGAAUGCAAGAGAAGGCCUAAGUUAUGGUCGUACCUCUCCUGGGCCUUCUAAUAAAGCAAAGUAAAUAUGUAAUCCACUUACAGUCAGUCAAUAGCAAUAUUUUUGUUUGUAAUGAUCCCACAUUUCAGUUGAAGAAAGUACUUAUUAUGCUAGGAAGGAAAACAUCAGCUGAAAUUAAUGGCAGAUUCUGAAUGGGCACUGAGCUAUAUUCAGAAUGUGAGUAUUUUCAGUUAGGUGAGGUUGUUGAGGUUUGCUUUCUUUCCUGAGCUCUUAUGAAUUAGCAAAUUCUAAACCGGCUGUUUUCAAAUUACAUAAAAUUGGUGCCUACCCUGAGUGUCUGUUUCUCUCUGCCAAGUUUCUACUCGUAACCUAUUUUAAAGCUUAGUCCUCAACACCCCCAAACCAAUGGAAUGAUAGCAGGCACCACCUUAAACCAUAAUGUUUUCACAAGGACGUGUUCAAGCUUGAAAUAAUGACCAGGUUGGAGAAAGAGGGAGGUGAGAAGGGAGGAGCAGACAAGUUUGUGUUUUCUUAUUAAAAAAAAAAAAA
rnacentral:lncRNA from 1 species